rnacentral:rRNA from 1 species
UCCGUAGGUGAACCUGCGGAAGGAUCAUUACUGAGGUUUCCCGGCGCAAGCUGGGGAGAACCCGACCUAUUGUCAUCUGCACGUUGGGGAGGAACGGUUGGCGUGUUGGACGUGUGGCUUGUGACGGAUCGUACCCGAGAGGGUGGAUCCGGAGCGGCCCGCGCUGCCGCUGCCGCCCUGACGAACCUGAACUUCGGCGGAAGAGGUAGGCUGGACCUGCCCGCCGCCGGCCGUAACUUAUUUUACUCUGCAACGAGAAUCUGAAGCCUGAUACACAAAAACAAAAUGAAAAGCAAAACUUUCAACAACGGAUCUCUUGGCUCUGGCAACGAUGAAGAACGCAGCGAAAUGCGAUACGUAGUGUGAAUUGCAGAAUUCAGUGAAUCAUCGAAUCUUUGAACGCACAUUGCGCCCUUUGGUAUUCCAAAGGGCAUGCCUGUUCGAGCGUCAUUUGUACCCUCAAGCUUUGCUUGGUGUUGGGCGUCUUGUCUCCAGUCCGCUGGAGACUCGCCUUAAAGUCAUUGGCAGCCGGCCUACUGGGUUUCGGGGAGGCGGCAGGCACAAGGUCGGCACUCUUUCCAGGCCAAGGGUCAGGCGGUCCAACAAGGCCUUUUUCAACUUUUGGGACCUCGGGGGAUCAGGUAGGGAUACCCGCUGAACUUAA